AUUGAACGCUGGCGGCAGGCCUAACACAUGCAAGUCGAGCGGAUGAAGGGAGCUUGCUCCUGGAUUCAGCGGCGGACGGGUGAGUAAUGCCUAGGAAUCUGCCUGGUAGUGGGGGAUAACGUCCGGAAACGGGCGCUAAUACCGCAUCCGUCCUGAGGGAGAAAGUGGGGGAUCUUCGGACCUCACGCUAUCAGAUGAGCCUAGGUCGGAUUAGCUAGUUGGUGGGGUAAAGGCCUACCAAGGCGACGAUCCGUAACUGGUCUGAGAGGAUGAUCAGUCACACUGGAACUGAGACACGGUCCAGACUCCUACGGGAGGCAGCAGUAGGGAAUAUUGGACAAUGGGCGAAAGCCUGAUCCAGCCAUGCCGCGUGUGUGAAGAAGGUCUUCGGAUUGUAAAGCACUUUAAGUUGGGAGGAAGGGCAGUAAGUUAAUACCUUGCUGUUUUGACGUUACCAACAGAAUAAGCACCGGCUAACUUCGUG
rnacentral:rRNA from 1 species